CACCACAGAAGGUAAUAGUCCUGUAUGUUAAACGAGAAGACUUCAGAUAUGAUCCAGAGGACCACGGGACACGUGAAACCCUGUGGGAAGCAGGAGGGACCACCCUCCAAGGCUAAAUACUACCUAGUGACCGAUAGCGUAUAGUACCGUGAGGGAAAGGUGAAAAGAACCCCGGGAGGGGAGUGAAAUAGAACCUGAAACCCUGCACUUACAAGCUGUGGAAGCACAUUUCUUG
rnacentral:rRNA from 1 species